UUAAUGAGUAAAAUAUAUGAAUAGGACAAACAAGGCCUAGAAAGGAUCCUUUAAAAUGCAUUUAUUUUAUAUUGCUUGUUUUUUGUUUUUUAAUACCACAGGGCUGGAAUCAAUUGAAAAUACAGUCUUGACUUCCUCAGUGCACAAGCCACUGGAAAUCUAUAAUAACCUCUGGGGAAAGAAAAUGGAAAUUUGCAGGUUCAACAACUCUUGGUACGCCGGACCCUUUCUCUGCCCCGACUAAUUUCCAAUCAGAAGAUCUGGUGUGAUGCCUGGAAGGAAUUGAGAGAUCUGACUCCUGGCCCUGUUGUAUGAUGUAUGAGCUAGUUCAUUUCUGCAACUACAACUCUUUCAUUUAUUUGCAUCACCUUAGCAAAAUCAGGGCUGUGAAGAGAAAUGUUGCUGAAAACUUCUAGGGAACGUUUGGACACGGAGAAUUUGCUAUGUGCCAGACUGAAGCCUGAGUUGAGUCAAGGCUGAGUUUUGUGUCCUUGAGGGAGUCACUGAACCUCUCUCCUUGCUUCAGCUGCAAGGAUUAAUUCAUUCUUGUUGAAAAAUUCUUUGAGAUUCUCAUCUGGAUGGAGUCAUAAAAGUGCGAAUUAUAAACAGUACACCACACUAUACGGCUCAGCAAACUAAAGAAGCAGUGAGAUAUAUACAUAACUGAACGCUAUCCAGGUAUUGCUAAAUCAUCUUCAUGUCCCUAGGGACUGUACUGCUGAAGUGUGAAAGUGUUUUUUCCUUUGAAAUACAUUGAAAUAAAUGAAGAAAAUGUUUACUUGCUAGAUGACUG
rnacentral:lncRNA from 1 species